GACGGACCGUACGAACGUUAUUCGGAAUUACUGGGCUUAAAGGGUGCGUAGGCGGCUCAGAAAGUUGAAUGUGAAAGCCCUCGGCUUAACCGAGGAAUUGCAUCCAAAACUACUGGGCUUGAGUGAGACAGAGGUGAGCGGAACUCACGGUGGAGCGGUGAAAUGCGUUGAUAUCGUGAGGAACACCGGUGGCGAAAGCGGCUCACUGGGUCUUUGCUGACGCUGAGGCACGAAAGCGUGGGGAGCAAACAGG
rnacentral:rRNA from 1 species